GAGUUUGAUCCUGGCUCAGAACGAACGCUGGCGGCGUGGAUAAGACAUGCAAGUCGAACGGGAUUACUUUUGGUAGCAAUACCGAGAGUAAUUUAGUGGCGAACGGGUGCGUAACACGUGGGCAAUCUGCCGAAAAGUGGGGGAUAGCUCGCCGAAAGGCGAAUUAAUACCGCAUGUGGUGAGGGACGACAUCUUCCUGAAUCCAAAGCCGGGGUAACCUGGCGCUUUUUGAGGAGCCCGCGGCCUAUCAGCUAGUUGGUGAGGUAACGGCUCACCAAGGCUAUGACGGGUAGCUGGUCUGAGAGGACGACCAGUCACACUGGAACUGAGACACGGUCCAGACACCUACGGGUGGCAGCAGUCGAGAAUUUUUCUCAAUGGGGGAAACCCUGAAGGAGCGACGCCGCGUGGAGGAUGAAGGCUUUCGGGUUGUAAACUCCUGUCAUUUGAGAACAAGGUGCGAGAAUUAACUGUCCUCGCAUUGAUAGUAUCAGAAGAGGAAGAGACGGCUAACUCUGUGCCAGCAGCCGCGGUAAUACAGAGGUCUCAAGCGUUGUUCGGAUUCAUUGGGCGUAAAGGGUGCGUAGGUGGCGCCGUAAGUCGGGUGUGAAAUUUCGGAGCUUAACUCCGAAACUGCAUUCGAUACUGCGGUGCUUGAGGACUGGAGAGGAGACUGGAAUUCAUGGUGUAGCAGUGAAAUGCGUAGAGAUCAUGAGGAAGACCAGUGGCGAAGGCGGGUCUCUGGACAGUUCCUGACACUGAGGCACGAAGGCCAGGGGAGCAAACGGGAUUAGAUACCCCGGUAGUCCUGGCAGUAAACGGUGCACGUUUGGUGUGGGGGGAUUCGACCCCUUCCGCGCCGGAGCUAACGCGUUAAACGUGCCGCCUGGGGAGUACGGUCGCAAGAUUAAAACUCAAAGAAAUUGACGGGGGCCCGCACAAGCGGUGGAGUAUGUGGUUCAAUUCGACGCAACGCGAGGAACCUUACCCAGGCUUGAACAGCGAGUGACAUCCGGCGAAAGCCGGCUCCCGCAAGGGCACUCGUAGAGGUGCUGCAUGGCUGUCGUCAGCUCGUGUCGUGAGAUGUUGGGUUAAGUCCCGCAACGAGCGCAACCCUUGUCCUCUGUUGCCAUCAGGUUAUGCUGGGCACUCUGAGGAGACUGCCGGUGAUAAACCGGAGGAAGGUGGGGAUGACGUCGAGUCAGCAUGGCCUUUAUGUCUGGGGCUACACACGUGCUACAAUGGCCGAUACAAACCGUCGCGAUACCGCAAGGUGGAGCUAAUCGGAGAAAGUCGGUCUCAGUUCGGAUUGCAGGCUGCAACUCGCCUGCAUGAAGUUGGAAUCGCUAGUAAUCGCGGAUCAGCACGCCGCGGUGAUACGUUCCCGGGCCUUGUACACAC
rnacentral:rRNA from 1 species